UACCAGCACCCCGAGUGGUCGGGACGAUUAUUGGGCCUAAAGCAUCCGUAGCCGGUCAUGCAAGUCCUCCGUUAAAUCCAGCCGCUCAACGGUUGGGCUGCGGAGGAUACUACGUGGCUAGGAGGCGGGAGAGGCAAGCGGUACUCAGUGGGUAGGGGUAAAAUCCGUUGAUCCAUAGAAGACCACCAGUGGCGAAGGCGGCUUGCCAGAACGCGCUCGACGGUGAGGGAUGAAAGCUGGGGGGAGCAAACCGG
rnacentral:rRNA from 1 species